rnacentral:rRNA from 1 species
GGGUUGUGAGGUUAAGCGACUAAGCGUACACGGUGGAUGCCCUGGCAGUCAGAGGCGAUGAAGGACGUGCUAAUCUGCGAUAAGCGCCGGUAAGGUGAUAUGAACCGUUAUAACCGGCGAUUUCCGAAUGGGGAAACCCAGUGUGACUCGUCACACUAUCAUUAACUGAAUCCAUAGGUUAAUGAGGCGAACCGGGGGAACUGAAACAUCUAAGUACCCCGAGGAAAAGAAAUCAACCGAGAUUCCCCCAGUAGCGGCGAGCGAACGGGGAGGAGCCCAGAGCCUGAAUCAGCAUGUGUGUUAGUGGAAGCGUCUGGAAAGGCGCGCGAUACAGGGUGACAGCCCCGUACACAAAAGCGCAUGUGCUGUGAGCUCGAUGAGUAGGGCGGGACACGUGGUAUCCUGUCUGAAUAUGGGGGGACCAUCCUCCAAGGCUAAAUACUCCUGACUGACCGAUAGUGAACCAGUACCGUGAGGGAAAGGCGAAAAGAACCCCGGCGAGGGGAGUGAAAAAGAACCUGAAACCGUGUACGUACAAGCAGUGGGAGCCCCACCACUAAGCCAGUGGUGAACUCCACAUACGCAUCCUUUGCUGAGGAUACGGUUAACGGAGCGAAAGCGACGUUCAACCUCAAAAGAAGCAGAGGGGGCUUAGUGGUGGGGUGACUGCGUACCUUUUGUAUAAUGGGUCAGCGACUUAUAUUCUGUAGCAAGGUUAACCGAAUAGGGGAGCCGGAGGGAAACCGAGUCUUAACCGGGCGUUAAGUUGCAGGGUAUAGACCCGAAACCCGGUGAUCUAGCCAUGGGCAGGUUGAAGGUUGGGUAACACUAACUGGAGGACCGAACCGACUAAUGUUGAAAAAUUAGCGGAUGACCUGUGGCUGGGGGUGAAAGGCCAAUCAAACCGGGAGAUAGCUGGUUCUCCCCGAAAGCUAUUUAGGUAGCGCCUCGUGAACUCAUCUCCGGGGGUAGAGCACUGUUUCGGCUAGGGGGCCAUCCCGGCUUACCAACCCGAUGCAAACUGCGAAUACCGGAGAAUGUUAUCACGGGAGACACACGGCGGGUGCUAACGUCCGUCGUGAAGAGGGAAACAACCCAGACCGCCAGCUAAGGUCCCAAAGUCAUGGUUAAGUGGGAAACGAUGUGGGAAGGCCCAGACAGCCAGGAUGUUGGCUUAGAAGCAGCCAUCAUUUAAAGAAAGCGUAAUAGCUCACUGGUCGAGUCGGCCUGCGCGGAAGAUGUAACGGGGCUAAACCAUGCACCGAAGCUGCGGCAGCGAACGUAUCACCCAAGACAACUUUACGGAGUUGACGAUUGACGGAGCGAAGCGACGUCAAAGCGUUCAUUAAAGUCGAGUUGGCUUAGGGAUACGUUCGUUGGGUAGGGGAGCGUUCUGUAAGCCUGUGAAGGUGUGUCGUGAGGC